GAGGUGACUGAGUGGCGGACGGGUGAGUAACGCGUGGGUAACCUACCCUAUACAGGGGGAUAACAGUUGGAAACGACGUGCUAAUACCGACAUAAGCGCACAGGACCGCAUGGUCUAGUGUGAAAAACUCCGGUGGUAUAGGAUGGACCCGCGUCUGAUUAGCUAGUUGGUGAGGUAACGGCUCACCAAGGCGACGAUCAGUAGCCGACCUGAGAGGGUGACCGGCCACAUUGGGACUGAGACACGGCCCAAACUCCUACGGGAGGCAGCAGUGGGGAAUAUUGCACAAUGGGCGAAAGCCUGAUGACCAGCGACGCCGCGUGAACGAAGAAGUAUUUCGGUAUGUAAAGUUCUAUCAGCAGGGAAGAAAAAUGUACGGUACCUGACUAAGAAGCUCCGGCUAAAUACGUGCCAGCAGCCGC
rnacentral:rRNA from 1 species